rnacentral:rRNA from 1 species
CCUACGGUGUGCAGCAGUGGGGAAUAUUGGGCAAUGGGCGCAAGCCUGACCCAGCAACGCCGCGUGAAGGAAGAAGGCUUUCGGGUUGUAAACUUCUUUUGUCAGGGAAGAGUAGAAGACGGUACCUGAAGAAUAAGCAACGGCUAAAUACGUGCCAGCAGCCGCGGUAAUACGUAGGUGGGAAGCGUUGUCCGGAUUUACUGGGGGUAAAGGGCGUGUAGCCGGGUUUAAAAGUCAGAUGUGAAAUCCUGCGGCUUAACCGCAGAACUGCAUUUGAAACUGUUGAUCUUGAGUACUGGAGCGGCAGAAGGAAUUCCUAGUGUAGCGGUGAAAUGCGUAGAUAUUAGGAGGAACACCAGUGGUGAAGGCGGUCUGCUGGACAGCAACUGACGGUGAGGCGCGAAAGCGUGGGGAGCAAACAGGAUUAGAUACCCGGGUAGUC